UGGUUCAAAAUGAAAAAUUGUGUAAAUAGAAGUUGUUGUUUUGAGUAGAAGGUUCUGUAAGGUGCUGUAAACGUGUGGAGGCUAUUUGAACUAGGAGUUAGUGUUUGUAGAAUUUGUUGAUAGGUAGCGCUAGUUGAAAUGUCAAACGGAGUUAGAGUUUUAUUAUUUGUUUUAAAAGGUUUGUUUAUUUUCUUUUGUAGAGUUGUUGUUUUAAAAGGAAAUGUAAAUAUUAAUUUUGAGAAAGAGUGUAUAAUUUUGUUUAUGUAAUUUCAAGUUAAGGAGGGGAAAUUCUGUACCGAUGGUAGUUAGUUUUUAUUUGAAAUAACAAAACAAAAUCAAUAUUAUUUAAUCAUUGGCUAGAAAGAUUAAGAAAGAGUGACCAGCAGUUUAGAAGUUUUAGUUUUGUAGGGUUGGUAGUGGUUAGUGAUAACCAGGUUCAACUUUGUCAGUUUUAAGUUCACUGGAAAUAUGGUCAUCUAAGUUGUGGUUGCUGUAGAAAAUUACAGAAAUCAACCACUUCUUGGUACUACCACUUCUUGUUCACCUUCUUAUGAUUGGUCCAGUAGCUUUUUGCACCACUUCUAGUUUGCAUGGUAUCUGCUAGUGCCUGUUCUGACCAUUAAACCAGUGUCUCUGUUUAAAGUAAGAUCUUUCCACUAUUUUAUUAUUUAGUAUAAUUUUUGGAAGUAACAACUGGAUAUUUAAUUUCAUUUGGAAAGUGUAUUUUGAGAAAUUUGACAUCCGUAAAAUAAAUGCAUCUUUGGCCUA